AACCCAUGGUGAGGGCACACCCUCAUUAGCUCCUUGAACCUAUCCUAGAAUUCAUAUAAUCACUCUCAUUCUCUUUGAAUGAAAAUGGUUAUCUGACUCUUGAGUU